rnacentral:lncRNA from 1 species
CUGUUCUGUUCCUAAUUCAAGAUUGCUUUGUCUUGUCCUUUCUGAGCCUUGUUUACAUUACUUUUCCAAAAAACUGCAUGUAGCUCACCUUUAUCCCAAUUAACUGCCAAUAAAAGUCAGUGCCUGGGACUGGCCAGGGCCUGUCGGUUGUCCCUGCACCCCCGCUUUCUCUCUCCUAGUUCUGCCUUUUAGUUUUAUUUCUCAGGCCUCACGUGCGUAUACUGGGCAGGGUUCUGGAACCUAACUGCAGGAUCUCUAGUACUUGGCGCCCAUGGUCAGGGCUCAAACCAUGAGCAAUCACCUGCUCAGUAAGGCUACUCGGAAUAAAAGAAGGAGUCGACAAUAGCGUGCACCUCACACCAAGGUCAAGGACAAGCACAACAACCCAGAGAAAGAGUUUAGAGACCAAAACUAUAAAGGUAACUGGGCUAAGAAGACAGCCAAUAUUUUGGCCCUGGCCCUUCAAGGUCUACAAACAGCCCAGGUCAUGACAGAAUCUUUUCUACAAGAUCCUACAACUUUGGUAAGUCACCGAACCUCCUGAGCAGGGAGACUGUGGGACACCAAAAAAAGAAAAUAAGAUGCUGUGACCAUCAUCCCAGAAUGUACCACCACGGACCAAGAUGAUAGAUUUGCUGCAAGCAGCACAAUGUGACCCCCGCUGAGGGCCAUGCAAAAGCUACAUGUGAGUGACUCUCCUCGCCUGCAACAGCCCUUGGACCUGCAAAGAUCACCAGACCUAACGCAGCUGACGUUUUCAACAGAGAAGAGGGAGAUGCAGAGGACUAUAAUAUUGAUUAUGACCAAAGCAGACUAAAGAGCUAACCCCACAAUCAGCUUGUUUAUAGAAAUGAGUCCAAAGCCCAUGUGCCAAGGUCAGAGUAACUCGCACCCAAAUUCCAUUCCCACAACUAAAACCUCCUGACUAGAAAGACAAUGUUCUAAUUACAAUCAUGUAUUUGUCUAUUCUGUUCCUAAUUCGAGAUUGCUUUGUCUUGUCCUUUAUGGGCCCUGUUUACAUUAAUUUCCAUAGGAAUUCCACACAGCUUGCUUUUACCCCAAUUAACUGCCAAUAAAAGUCAGUGCCUGGGACUGGCCAGGGCUUUGGGUGGUUGCACCAGCACUGGUCGGUCCUGGCCCCCUUUCUCUCUCCUAGUUCUGCCUUAGUUUUAUUUCUUAGGCCUGCGUCGUAUACUGGGCAGGGUGCUGAAAC